rnacentral:tRNA from 1 species
ACCGUGAUUGCUCAGCUGGUGGAGCAUCUGCCCGGUAAGCGGCUGGUCACCGAUUUGAUUCCGGCUCGCGGUG